AUUGAACGCUGGCGGCAGGCCUAACACAUGCAAGUCGAGCGGAUGAAGGGAGCUUGCUACUGGAUUCAGCGGCGGACGGGUGAGUAAUGCCUAGGAAUCUGCCUGGUAGUGGGGGAUAACGUCCGGAAACGGGCGCUAAUACCGCAUACGUCCUGAGGGAGAAAGUGGGGGAUCUUCGGACCUCACGCUAUCAGAUGAGCCUAGGUCGGAUUAGCUAGUUGGUGGGGUAAAGGCCUACCAAGGCGACGAUCCGUAACUGGUCUGAGAGGAUGAUCAGUCACACUGGAACUGAGACACGGUCCAGACUCCUACGGGAGGCAGCAGUGGGGAAUAUUGGACAAUGGGCGAAAGCCUGAUCCAGCCGUGCCGCGUGUGUGAAGAAGGUCUUCGGAUUGUAAAGCACUUUAAGUUGGGAGGAAGGGCAGUAAGUUAAUACCUUGCUGUUUUGACGUUACCAACAGAAUAAGCACCGGCUAACUUCGUG
rnacentral:rRNA from 1 species